rnacentral:rRNA from 1 species
GUGGGGAAUAUUGCACAAUGGGUGCAAGCCUGAUGCAGCAACGCCGCGUGAGGGAUGACGGCCUUCGGGUUGUAAACCUCUUUUAGUAGGGAAGAAGCGAAAGUGACGGUACCUGCAGAAAAAGCACCGGCUAACUACGUGCCAGCAGCCGCGGUAAUACGUAGGGUGCAAGCGUUGUCCGGAAUUAUUGGGCGUAAAGAGCGCGUAGGCGGCUUGUCGCGUCUGCUGUGAAAUCCCGGAGCUCAACUCCGGGCCUGCAGUGGGUACGGGCAGGCUAGAGUGCGGUAGGGGAGAUUGGAAUUCCUGGUGUAGCGGUGGAAUGCGCAGAUAUCAGGAGGAACACCGAUGGCGAAGGCAGAUCUCUGGGCCGCUACUGACGCUGAGGAGCGAAAGCAUGGGGAGCGAACAGGAUUAGAUACCCCAGUAGUCC